rnacentral:rRNA from 1 species
GACGAACGCUGGCGGCGUGCUUAACACAUGCAAGUCGAACGGAAAGGCCCUGCUUUUGUGGGGUGCUCGAGUGGCGAACGGGUGAGUAACACGUGAGUAACCUGCCCUUGACUUUGGGAUAACUUCAGGAAACUGGGGCUAAUACCGGAUAGGAGCUCCUGCUGCAUGGUGGGGGUUGGAAAGUUUCGGCGGUUGGGGAUGGACUCGCGGCUUAUCAGCUUGUUGGUGGGGGAGUGGCUUACCAAGGCUUUGACGGGUAGCCGGCCUGAGAGGGUGACCGGCCACAUUGGGACUGAGACACGGCCCAGACUCCUACGGGAGGCAGCAGUGGGGAAUAUUGCACAAUGGGCGGAAGCCUGAUGCAGCAACGCCGCGUGCGGGAUGACGGCCUUCGGGUUGUAAACCGCUUUCGCCUGUGACGAAGCGUGAGUGACGGUAAUGGGUAAAGAAGCACCGGCUAACUACGUG